GACGUAGGGGGCAAGCGUUGUCCGGAUUUAUUGGGCGUAAAGAGCGUGUAGGCGGCCAGAUAGGUCUGUUGUGAAAACUCGAGGCUCAACCUCGAGACGCCGAUGGAAACCAUCUGGCUAGAGUCCGGAAGAGGAGAGUGGAAUUCCUGGUGUAGCGGUGAAAUGCGCAGAUAUCAGGAAGAACACCCGUGGCUAAGGCGGCUCUCUAGUACGGUACUGACGCUGAGACGCGAAAGCGUGGGGAGCGAACAGG
rnacentral:rRNA from 1 species